rnacentral:rRNA from 1 species
UACGGAGGGGGCGAGCGUUAUUCGGAAUUAUUGGGCGUAAAGGGCGCGUAGGCGGCUCUAUAAGUCAAAGGUGAAAUCCCUCGGCUCAACUGAGGAACUGCCUUUGAAACUGUUGGGCUUGAGUCCGGGAGAGGGUAGUGGAAUUCCCAGUGUAGCGGUGAAAUGCGUAGAUACUGGGAGGAACACCAGUGGCGAAGGCGGCUGCCUGGACCGGUUCUGACGCUGAGGCGCGAAAGCGUGGGUAGCAAACAGG